AAACCCUUACUGUCCCCGUUACUGACACUCAUGCAACAUAUGGGUUCACUUGGCUUCCAUAGAUGGAGCUCUGUCUGCAUUUGUUGAAUGAACCUCGGUGGACCUUUGUGGCUACAUCAACUCAUGAAAUACAGCAGAAGUGACAUUCCAUGACCUCCAAGGCUAGAGAGAACAAAAAAACCCCAAAAAACAAGUCAGCCUGUCUGGAAAAAUCAAAUCAGCCAAUUCUAUCCAUUCCUGUGUAAUUCUAG